rnacentral:rRNA from 1 species
UACGGGGGGGUCCAAGCGUUGUUCGGAAUCACUGGGCGUAAAGCGCAUGUAGGUGGCUUUUCAAGUCAACUGUGAAAGCCCAGGGCCUAACCCUGGAAGUGCAGUUGAUACUGUUGAGCUUGAGUACGAGAGAGGAUAGUGGAAUUCCUGGUGUAGUGGUGAAAUACGUAGAUAUCAGGAAGAACACCCGUGGCGAAAGCGGCUCUCUGGAACGGUACUGACGCUGAGACGCGAAAGCGUGGGGAGCGAACAGG